rnacentral:misc_RNA from 1 species
GAUGAAGAACGCAGCGAAAUGCGAUAAGUAGUGUGAAUUGCAGAAUUCAGUGAAUCAUCGAAUCUUUGAACGCACAUCGCGCCCCUUGGUAUUCCAUGGGGCAUGCCUGUUCGAGCGUCAUUUGUACCUUCAAGCUCUGCUUGGUGUUGGGUGUUUGUCUCGCCUCUGCGUGUAGACUCGCCUUAAAACAAUUGGCAGCCGGCGUAUUGAUUUCGGAGCGCAGUACAUCUCGCGCUUUGCACUCAUAACGACGACGUCCAAAAGUACAUUUUUACACUCUUGACCUCGGAUCAGGUAGGGAUACCCGCUGAACUUAAGCAUAUCAAUAAGCGGAGGA